rnacentral:rRNA from 1 species
AUACGGAGGGUGCAAGCGUUAUCCGGAAUCACUGGGUUUAAAGGGUGCGUAGGCGGUUAUGUAAGUCAGGGGUGAAAGGUCACAGCUUAACUGUGAGAUUGCCUUUGAAACUGUGUAACUUGAAUCAGAUAGAGGUUAGUGGAAUGCGACAUGUAGCGGUGAAAUGCAUAGAUAUGUCGUGGAAUACCGAUUGCGAAGGCAGCUAACUGGGUCUUGAUUGACGCUGAGGCACGAAAGCGUGGGGAGCGAACAGGAUUAGAUACCCUGGUAGUCCACGCCCUAAACGAUGUUAACUCGAUGUUUGAUCUGUAGGAUUGAGCGUUUAAGGGAAACCGAUAAGUUAACCACCUGGGGAGUACGUUCGCAAGAAUGAA